CAAUAAAAUCUCUGAACACAGGAAACUUUAUUUAUUUAUUUAUUUAUUUUGAAGAUACUUGAAUAGAUACUUGCAGAGAAAUUUCUAGUAUGGCUGAUUUUAAAUGUUUGUGGAAACAAUUCUGAUUUUCUUGUCAACAAUGCAUUGUCAUCAGCUCUUCCUGAGGAUGAAAAUACAUCUGGAAGGAGACACUGUCAGGGUAAUGCAGCUGAAAUGUUCUCCUGAGGACAAUAAGUAACCUCUUUUAAAGUAGUAAUGAUACAGCAUAAAUGUAUUCUAUUGGGACAGAAUAACUGAUACAUUUCCCUGGGGGUCAUUAUGAUUCUGCUGAAGAAAGCCUACUGUGAAAAAGUAAUACAAAUAAAGGCUGCUUGUCACGGAAACACACAAGAGAUAGUGUGGUUUGUGGGUUUUUUUUUCCUCCCCCCAAAAAAAGCAUAUGGGAAUGAGAAUAGGCUUCAUUUCUUCAUUUUACAAAAGCUGAAAAUCCCAUUAGGAAGAGAUUUUUUGCUGGGUGCCUUGAUAGUGUACACAUUUUAGGUGGGGAUGUCAGCAUCGCUACAAUUAAGGCUUUCUGACACUUUUUUAGUAACAUCCAGUUCUCUCUAGCUCCUAACUCUGCCAAGCAGCUAUGUGCAAUUUUCCAUGUUGAAUGGCUUUUCUAGGCUGAUAUACAUACACAUUCCCCUUAUCGUUUUACUUUAUUUCAGCCAAAGCAGUUGCAGAUGUCUCUGAGCGUUAACCUAAGGAAGCAGUAUAUUUCUGGAUUAUUUUUAUUAUUUUUUAAGUCUGCAUUUCAUUUUUCCCUUAUUCUCUCUAACCUUUUCUUUUUGAAAAUAUUAGACUUUGGUCAGAACCUUAAUGCGAUGGCCUUUAGCACUACUGUGCUUUUGCUUCCCCUACAAAAACCUAUCCAGAUUUUUAAAAUCAGGUGACAGAAUUUUGGUCAGUCCUCAGAAAGCCACAUUGUUACUGUAGUCAAGCCUUUCCCAACUUUUUUCCCUGAGCAAGCUGUAUAUUGUCUGUUCUCACACAGCAUCUACAUGCCCAGACUAUUAAUGAACAAUCUCUUCAGACUAACUGAGCAUGCACCAACGGCCACAGCUUUGGAAAGUGGAAGGACUGGAAAUACGCCAUCCUGCAGUGUAACAGCUGUUUCGUGAUGCUUGGAGCUAGAAGGAGGGGUCCAAAUAAACGGCUCUUGGUUAGAACUGGGAGCUUGUUCUCUCUAUAAUCUCCUGUGACAUACUGGAAAAAAAAAAAUACACAUUAAAAUGAACAUAGGAAUAGGGCAGGAUCUACGUAGAAGGGAAAUAAGUGUAACAAAGGAAUCACUAGUGUGACCUUGGUCUGCAAACAUUAGUUUUGGGUCUGAGUAGCAGAAAAGGACAGGAAGCAGUUGCCUGAUGGAGAAACAAAGCUUGUUUAGAUUGCUUAGCUUUUAUGGCAUUUGCUGACAAAACAGGCGUGGUGAGAUAAAGCACUUUGUAUUAUGUGUUAGGGGUAGCUUAAGACUUUUCAGCACUGUAGAAAAAACACUUUUUUUUUACACUGGCAGUUGCCUGUGCUUUUGAGAAAUGGGGUGGAAUGGAGGAAAGUAACAGCAAAAAUGUUAGGAAUGGAAGUUAAAGGUUGAGAAUUCAAGAGGACUGCAGAUUCGCAGAUCGGCCUUCAGGGAAGAAUAGAGACAAAGUAAGAAGAUGGCAUUAAUGAGAUGUAGACAAGCUUUUCCACAUUUUGUAUUAGACCGUGAAUCUAUCCAGCUUCUGUCAGAUCCUUUUCCCCAAUUCCAGGUUUUCACUUGUAAUGGCCUACAGCACUACUGCUGGCUUCCUGGUGGAGAAACAAAUCUUUGCCAGCUUGCUGAAUAACCUCCGUAAUGUUCAGCCGAUCAGAACUCCUCCAUCUGUGUGUCCAUCCAUCCAAAGAACCAGAUGCUCCGAAAAACACUUCAUCCACCUCUCCUGACGUAUCCAUAUCUGAAAUAUGUUGCUACCAUAACUGCAGUUUUCAGCCCUACAAGCAAAACCAGCAAUUGACCUAUCUGGAGCUCUCAACUUCUUAGUCACUUGCUCAGAUCUACUAAGCAGUGAGACCAAGGUCUCCCUGUAGACAAUAUCUCUGCUUACAGAAGAGGAACUGAUUCAUCUUGUUUUCCUAUUUGUCUAAUAUGUUCAGUAGCUAAUUUCUAGUUCAUUUCUGAAAUUUAAAAUGCAUCUCCAAAAUUUCAUCGUUGCCAUCCAUUACAUAUCGAUUUGUUCUGAAUGUCUGCAUUACGCACCAUGAAAAGAGGAAUGACUUUGUAAACAGUAAGAAUGCUCAAAACCAUGUGAUAUAGGGGGGGAGAAUGUCACAGGACAUUGCCGAGAAUCUACAGCUCAAAAACCUUCCCCUUUCUGGGAAAGACAGGAGAAAAUGCAGCUAGACCUGGCUGUGCGGUGUGCUGCCGUUCAAAAUGAACAAGUUGAGUGAAGCCACGACUGGAGAGAGGACCUGCCCCUAAAUGAUGCAGAAGAAGCAAGGAGAACACAGAUGUAUAAACGUUUCCUAGUUGUGCUCUAUCUUACCUACAUAGCAUAUUUGAAGCGUCAGGCGUUUCAAUGUAUAUUCUAGUAAACCUGGAUUGUCUUGUUUUAAAAGCCUUUUGAUCUUUGAAGAACUUACUAUAAGGAAAUAACUGAAAUAGGUACAUCUCAAAGUUCCAGCUACAUCUGCCUGUAUAGGCACUACCCAAUCUAAAUGGUGACAAUAAGCAGUAUCUUCAUGCUUCUAAUCCAUGCUUACAAGUAUAGACGUAAUCCUGAAAUAAAACCAAUCUGUGAAGAACUUGAUAAAAAGUAUUUUGAAUACUGUCCCACUGGAUUUAUUGCCAUGACUCUGCUACUCAGCCAUCAUUUGUCACUGGUCCAGUUGAACAGAACAUUUUAUCAAUGUCUUCUGUUACACCUUUUUGGUCUCUGCCCUCAAAGACAGAAAUGUUGGGCUUGCACAUUUUACCCCUUUCAUCUAUUUUUUUUUUAUAGCUACAGCUGAAAGAAUGCUUACUGAUAAAUCAAUUGGCUAAGCUAUGUAAAAUAGCAUUUUUCAUGUAUUGCUCAAAGCAAUUAAACAGUGAAAUAAGAACUUUUAAUACAUAUAUUAAGAAAGAGGGCCACAAAGGACAUUUUCUACAUUAAUAAACUCACUUUUUCCUACAAUACAUUUAUACCAACAAAGCUGUUAAUUCCUGGUAUUUUCUGAAAUGUUAGUAUGAAAUCAAGUAUCUAAAGUAGUACAUAUUUUCUAAUAAUCCCCUACUUGAAAGAAUCCUUGCCAAGUUCAUGAAUCACUGCUGUUUUCUUGUUUUAAAAACCUGCUGGGAAGUCAACAUUCACAUGACAUACCUUGUUUCUCAUAAAUGGUGGAACGAGUAAAAGGUUAUAUAGGUAGAACCAACUAGAUGAACACCAUGAACUCCUGUUUCAAGAAUCUUCACAUUAUGAUCUUGCUUUGUGGACAAGUUUUGAUUUGAUUAUCAUGGUGAACUGAUGCACCUGGUGUCAUCAGUUCUCUGCCUGGUGAUAGUACUGAACCACUGUUUAAAACUCUGAAGUAAAAUUAAUUUCAUGGUUACUGAAUAUAGUUUUAAGACUCCCCUAUAAAAUUACAAAUACUCUACAAAUUCUAACUUGAAUAUCAAAUUAAUUUAGAAAUAACGGACUGUCCUGUUCCAGAAUUUUCAUUGGUGAACUCAUCUACCCAUUUAACUGUAAGAUAAUAGCAUCUUAAUAGCAUAUAAAAAUAUGAUAUAGCAUAUAUCAAAAUAAUAUCUUAGUAGCAGAUAUAAAUUGGAACUGCUUAUCUUCUCACAGUAUUGGUCUAAUUGUUUUUCAUAUCUGUUUUUGUUCUUUUCUGUGGCAUUCCAAACUUCUAUCAACUGCCUUUUCUCCUCCUAUUCUCAUUCAGUAGUCACAUUAUUUACCUGUGGCUCUGCUAUCGGCAAGCCUAGGAACGUGUCCGAAAAGUAUUUCGUAGUUUUUCUGCUUUUGUAGCAGUCUUUACUACAAAUAAACUAGAAUCCACAUUGAUUAAGACCACAUAAUACAACACUCAAGUCAAUAAACCUACUGAAAGGCAAGUUAACAUUAACUCAAAUUCUGUUUCACACUGUUCUUAUGGCCACAACUUCUGGCCGGUUCAGUGAUGACCUAGCAGAUGAUUUAUUUGAUUGUAAAGCACAGGAGAGAUCUGAUUUAUCUUCUGUUCAUUAUCUGAAGUCACCUACAGAACCUAUCGGUAACAAAAGUACAACCAAAGCAAAGAUCUGAAAAGUUAGAGGAAACAAACAAGCAAAUUAAAAUAGUAAAAAUACACAUUGUUCAUCUCUAAACUGCAUUCAUCAGAUUAUCAUUUUUAUUUGUAUGAGGAGCACAUUUUUGAGGCAAAUCUCCUGAUUAGACUAGAGCUUGCUGGCAACGCGCUGCCCUCAGCAUCAUGUUUUAGUCUGUGUAUUUAUUCUUACUGCUUGCUAACAGAAACAGUCAUCUGUUUUCAGGAAGCUGAGCACUCAUUUCUUGUACAGCCCCCUGGAAAAAAUACAUCUGUUGUAUUGUCUACUCCGCAGUUCCAAAUGCCUAACUACUUAUUCUCCCUCUUGGUGAUUUUUUUUUUUUUAAAUACGUCCAAGCUCUAGUCAAGGAGUCUGAGAGAAAGAAAGAGUUAAACUAACAAUGAAGAAAAUACAUCUAGUCUGUAGAAGUCUUAAAUUCCAAACUUUACAUCAGCAGUAAUGUCAUAUAUUACAAUGCCCACAUUCCAGAUGAGGAUCAAGCACUUGAUUACAUGGAAUAGGCCUCUUCUUUUACUGUAGGAUCAAAAGCAUCUUUGAAAGUGUGCAAAGAUAUCAGCUGAAAACCAUAAAAUAAAAAAAAAAAUCUGUUCUAAUUCUCUGUGCAAUGCCUUGGCCUCAUCAAAUCACAGAAAAACAUUCAUUUAUCAAUACAUUUAAUUCUUUAGUUAUCUAAAAGAAGCUAGAAGAACCCAAAUUUGCCCUAAAAUUUUAUUUUGCCUUUGUUUCUUAAGUUACUUUAAAGGUUUCAGGGAAGGCUCAAUAAUCAGGUAACAACAUGUUUCUCGUUUUCUCCACUACAUUUCUUCACGAUUCUGUUUUUCCCCUUAAACCAGCCCUCCCCCCACUGUUUGCAAUAUGUUGUGUGUUCAUACAAAGCCUUUGUUAAGGGUCAGGAUGAAAUUCAAAGGCACUGUUAUUAAAACAAAGUAUUGCCUAAUUUCCAUGAUCUAAAUUCUUUCAUUAUUUACUACUACCUUACAAUCAAAGGGGCAGAAUUAUUCAUGAUAAUGGAGUACACUAUGGAAGUAAUCUUUCAACUGGUUAAACUAAUUUAAGCUUGAUUCAUCUUCUUGCAACAGUUUGCACAUACUCCUUAAAAAGAUUAACUGUGAUUUCCCCAUUUACAAUUUCUAAAGUAGUCUGAACUGUAUCUGUCACUGUCCGGGAAUGCUGGAUUUGCUGUGUUCCUAUGAAUAAAACAGAUCAUUCCAGGUUCUAGUGUCCAAACGCACCCUGCAGCAGGACACAUUUAAAAGCUGAGUUUUCACAGACAUCCUACAAACUGUAAGAUGGAUAAGAGCUAACAAACAGCAGAAAUCCUUUCUUAAAGAAGCUAAUUUCAGACAAUAUGGUCUUCUUGCGUAUGUGAACCUUCUGAUGUAAGUAACUGAUACAAUCAUAAAUGCAUUCAAGCAUAAUUUAUUUUCCUGUGUUCCGUGAUUUUGAAUAAGCAUUCCCUUGUUUGCAUGCAAAUUUCACCUGAAGACAUAUGCUGGUGUUUUUUUUUUUUUUUCCUGACCAAGCAUAAGCAAAUUAAAUUGAAUUUGCUGCACUUGAGUCUUCAUUCUGUACACAGCAAGCACGUAUUUGGAGUCAAGUUUGAUCAGUACAUCUAGACACGGUCAGAUUUAUUUCAGUGUGACAGAGCAAUCUCCAUUGAUUUUGGAAGCUGGCAUUUAGCCACAGGGAAGUUCUACUGCAGUAGUAAGCACUGCAACCUGAAGAAAAUACUUUUUCACAUUUAAAUAAACACAACUAUUCCUAGGUAACUAGUAAAUAAAAGCUGAUGAAUCCUACCUGAAGAUACACAAACAUGCUACUUCUCUCUCAUUUUCUCCCUCUCAUCUCCACUGAAGCCACGUGCAAUUGUUCUAGGUCUCCAAUUAAAAUUCCUCAAAAGAAAACAAUGUCUGGGAGAAAGCUAUUCUCAGCAGCAAUUAGUGCCUCAAUGUUAAUGAGGGCUCGGUCUUGACUUGGAAGAAGCAUGAAGAAAUGCAUCCUGAGACACAAUCAGUGAGAACAAAGAACAGCAAAAUCCUGCAUCAGAGCAAAGUACAGGCAUCUGAAAGAACGUUUUCUCCAAUAUGCAUGACCUUGACAUGGAAGGUGCCUCAUUUCCCUACAUUCCAUAUUAAAAUAAUCCCUAAAUGAGACCUGCUUAAUAAAUUACUCACCACCACAGAGUGUUAAAAGCUUAAAAAAAAAAGUGCCUUAUUUCCUUGAAAGUAUUUGCGGUCCUAGUCAACAGGUGCAGAUCUGCUCCAUCACCAUCAAACCGUUUCUGAACCAGCCACCUACUCCAAAUCUUGAUGUUGCUUUCUCUCCUUAUAACCUCUACCACACUGCCCAUGUCUUGCACAUCCAGGAACACAGAUGAAAGUGUGCAUAGUUAGGGUGUGUGGGUGUUGGAAGGUCUUUCACAGCAUAUUUUUUCCCUUCAACGAAAUUCAGUGCCCAUCUAUCAUAACAGAGGGGGAAAUAAACACUAACAAAAAUAAAAAGAAUAAACCUUUCAUACUGGGAUUUUGAAUAUUUUUCACUCCGUCGAGAGAUUAAAUAAUUUGUGUCUCAUAGUUUUAAAGUCAAGUGUUUGGGGAUGUAUAGGUUACUGUUCCACCCAAACUGUCAGCUCUGGAAAGGAAUCUAAAAGCUCCAGGCAAAUAGAUCCUACACAGUAAGACAGAACUGGCAGCAUU